CAGCGUUGAACGACAUGGCAGGAUCAGCGCCUGGAGCGUGGACUGUGUUCACGCCUUAUGAAGAUCCAGCGCUCCUCUUGAGCCAUCUUUCAGCCAGGAAUUGACGUAUUUACAGUCUGACGACAACUUGGAAAACCAACUUGGAGCAAAAGAAACAAACGACCCUUAACACACAGAACAGGCAGUCCGUCGACCAUUCUAUAUACGCUGCUAUAUACAGUACGAAGCCAACAACUCCGGGAAAACAAUAUCUGGAACACGUCACAGAACCUCGUAAGCAGGUUCUCUCGACCAAGACAUUUCCCUCGAAUCCCAGGCCAAAUAUCGGGCCCACAAUGCGAGCGACUCCCCCAAAACAAUUCCCAGAAUAGGAAAAAAGCCGUACCUGUCAAGACACGCAAUUCCAUCGUAAACAGGAUGCAGGGAAAUACGAGCAUUCUUUCGCUUAGCCUAGCAGAAAGAGUCCAGCCGUGCUCAUGGAAUACAUGAUGCUUCCUUCGCUGCCGAAUUCAGAAAGCGGCAGAUGAUUUGACUUUCAAGACUCUCUAGUUGCAACGCUCUGUUUACGUACAUAGAAGACAGCCAAUAUCAUCCGCUAUUUCUAAAGCAGAAACAAAAAGCUGGCGUUGGUGAUUUUGAAUCGCGGCUUCAGUUUUUAUAUCGCCGAGAUGCUUCUUGAUGAUCUGCUUUUCGAAAGGGUAUGGAGUGACUUCGAAAGCGACGUUUUUUCUUCUUCCUUUAAUGCCUGCGUCGGCGUUUAUUGCAUGCAGGUCCAAAAAGCUGACGGGUUCCGGAGAAAAUGCAUUUCAUCAUGCUAUGUACAGAUUCCAAUAGAUCCAAAUUGGCUUUGUAUGGA